UCCCAAGUGGUCUAGUGGUAAGGAUUCCACGCUCUCACAGUGGGGGCCGGGGUUCGAUUCCCCGGUUGGGAA
rnacentral:tRNA from 1 species